GUUAUAAAAAACUAUAGGCAAUGUAAUUACGAAUUAACGAACUAAUUGUUGUUCGCGAAUUAACUUGAAAUGCACAAUUGGCACUAACUACAUAUGACUCAGUUUAUAUUCGUUCUUAUUAAGCAUCAAUUGGCGUUCUGAUGAUAGUUAUAAGAGGAAUGUACAAGUUACUGAUCCAACUUAACUUUUUAAAUUCUUUUAAUUAUUUGAAUCGAAAUCUUAUUCUAGGAAAUUACUCGCUAUGAAUGUAUGUAAUUCCAUACAUCCAUAUAUGGAUAAAGAUAUAGAAAUAAAUAUCAAAGGAUAUAUUCAACGGGAUUGAAUUAUUGAAAAUUUUAAUUAAUACCUUUAUUCAUUGAAAAAUAUGAUUUGAAUAAUAUAUUUAUUUUUUUCACAUAUAAUAUUGCAUGAAAUGAUUAAAUUUUUAAUUUUGUCUAUCAUAUAUUUAUUAAAUUAAAUAUAAGAAUUAAAUUGAUAAAACGUAUCUAUCCUUAUCCGCUUCUUUCUUCAUCGAUUACGUUAUUACAUCGUUGUUGAUAGCGUAAUAAAUUCAUACAAAAACAAGUACAAAUAGAAAUGUUUUUGUCAACAACUUAAAUUGCCAUUAAAAUAGUUCAUUUACAAUGUGCAUUUGUGUCAAUAAAAAUAUUUAUCACAAUGACAUACUGCUUUAUUGUUUAUACUCUAAUAAAUUUUGAUUGUGAUCUGAAAUACUUCCCGUUGAUAAUUUAUAACUUUUGAAAUUUAAAAAUUGAUUAUUUUAAAGCAAAAAAUUUAAAUAUAAAUUUAAUACAGGAAUAAAAUUGAUAUUUUAUGAAAUAAUUCAAUGAAAACUGAUAUGAUAACUUAAUUAUGAUAACAAAUGAUAACUUGGUUAAAAACAGUACUGAUACUUAAGUUUAUUAAUUGAAAAAAAGCUUUAAUUGUUUAAUUAAAUAUAUUUAUUUUUGAAAAAAUGAAAGAAUAUAUGUAAGUACUACAUUAAUAUUAAUUUUAAUUAAAUUUUAUAUAUAAUUUAAUAUACACUUUUUCAUUCUAAUCACAACACAUAAUUUAUGAAUAUUGUUAUAUGUAAAAAUUAGUGAACAAACAAGUGAAAAAACAAAAAAUAAGAUAUAUAAUUCUAAUAUUUUUUACUAUCAUUUGAAAUAUAUGAGAAUCAUGUUUCAUUUUUAUUCUUAUUAUCAUUAUUUUUCAAUUUUUGUUUCUGUUUUAUAUUAUAAUCUGACAAAGCAGCCUUAAUUGCAUCUUCUGCGAGCA